GCAAGCCUAGCGCCCUUUUCACUACACCACCCCGGCCUCUCCAGCUCACAACUGCCCCUAACAAACAAGAAAAGAGACCCCUAGUUCCACCAAGGGAAACUGGGAGGGGGAGGGGAAAAGGGGAGGGGAAAAGGAAAGAGACUAUCCAAUCGGGCAUGUGCGUCCCUCCCCAAGAACCACAACCCCAGGGCUUCUUCGAACAGUGCGUAGUAACGCACUUCCACCUCCAGACCCCACACUCGACCACGCGCCUUCAGCCCCCAACCCCAGGACCACGUGGAGACAGAUCCGCAUUUGCAACAAGCGGCGGCGGCGGCGACGGCGGCGGGAGGAGCCCGAGCAGGGAAGCUUAGCGAGGUCAUUCGCUCGCAGUCCGCGUUGCUCCCCCGCAACCCGGAGCUACGCACCCAAGCCGGCCCGCCGGCGAAGAGCUUUAUCUAUGUGUGACCUAGCUGACCCUGAAUAA
rnacentral:lncRNA from 1 species